UUAGAUGUGGGGCGCAUCCUGUAACAUGCGCUGCUGAACUUUUGACUCGGGAAGCUGGGAUGCCUCCGCCCUGUUUAAUGGGUUUGAAGUUUUAGUCCAGCAGCGACGAGGCAGCAUCCUGCGGUCAGCUGAAUGCGCUCACACUGCUUGCUUUGUGUUCGAAGUCUUUUCUUUUCUCCGGAGUAUUCUCUCUCCACAUGAAGGGAAACAAUCAAAACUGAAGAAAUCAGUUCCCACUUGAGAACAUUAACGCAUAAAUGGACACUCAGACAGUUUUGCUCAUUUUUAUAUAACUCAAAAGAUGGGUGGAGGGCCUGGCUUACAUAGAAUCUUUGUUGUAACGGAAAGCAUUAUAGUGUAUAUUUAUCUUCCUAUGAAGCUCUGUAUAGAUGUCACCUGGUGAUCUAAACUCAAGAAUGGACUAUAGACAUUUCUAGUUUUAGAGAAGAUUCUACAACUCAGCUCAUCAUGAGCCUCCACUGGAAAUGUUGAAGGAAGCAAUUUCCACCAAGCCAUAACGAGGUUACUUUCUCCCUGAAAAAUGAGUAAAUUAUUUGUCACUAACGGUGUCUUACGUCAGCUCUCAUGACUUCUUCAGACUGAGCUCUUACACUUGGCA